UACGUAGGGUGCGGGCGUUAAUCGGAAUUACUGGGCGUAAAGCGUGCGCAGGCGGCCUCUUAAGUCAGAUGUGAAAUCCCCGGGCUCAACCCGGGAACUGCGUCCGAUACUGGCAGGCUUGAAUCCGGGAGAGGGAUGCGGAAUUCCAGGUGUAGCGGUGAAAUGCGUAGAUAUCUGGAGGAACACCGGUGGCGAAGGCGGCAUCCUGGACCGGCAUUGACGCUGAGGCGCGAAAGCCAGGGGAGCAAACGGG
rnacentral:rRNA from 1 species